ACUAGUAGCAAUUUCUACCACUUAGCUGACUCAAAUAGGGGUUGACUCGACUAAGUCUCAGGAGGGUAUGCCAGAUAGAAAGUUGGAGUUUUAGAGAAUUUGUGGUGGCAUGCAGAUGGGUCAACCCAAUGUUAUACUGAGUCGACUAAGUUUUAGAUUGAAUCGGCUCAGUCUCAGAUGAGUCAACUAAGCUGCGGGAACAGCAAA
rnacentral:lncRNA from 1 species